rnacentral:rRNA from 1 species
AAAUUGAAGAGUUUGAUCAUGGCUCAGAUUGAACGCUGGCGGCAGGCCUAACACAUGCAAGUCGAACGGUAACAGGAAGCAGCUUGCUGCUUCGCUGACGAGUGGCGGACGGGUGAGUAAUGUCUGGGAAACUGCCUGAUGGAGGGGGAUAACUACUGGAAACGGUAGCUAAUACCGCAUAAUGUCGCAAGACCAAAGAGGGGGACCUUCGGGCCUCUUGCCAUCGGAUGUGCCCAGAUGGGAUUAGCUUGUUGGUGGGGUAACGGCUCACCAAGGCGACGAUCCCUAGCUGGUCUGAGAGGAUGACCAGCCACACUGGAACUGAGACACGGUCCAGACUCCUACGGGAGGCAGCAGUGGGGAAUAUUGCACAAUGGGCGCAAGCCUGAUGCAGCCAUGCCGCGUGUAU